ACCCAAGAUGAUUCCCUCUCCAAGGGGCCUGCCAGUUUUCCUCCCAGGAAAGUAGCAACUUGGAAGAAAAUGUCGCAUGGCUCAGGCCACUGAGGAGAGGUGUUUUAAUUUCUCUGCCUGCCUGCGACUAACUACAUGC